CCUACGGGUGGCAGCAGUCGAGAAUCAUUCACAAUGGUGGAAACCCUGAUGGUGCGACGCCGCGUGGGGGAAUGAAGGACUUCGUAUUGUAAACCUCUGUUAUGUGGGAGCAAAUUAAAAAGAUAGUACCCCAAGAGGAAGAGACGGCUAACUCUGUGCCAAGAACCGCGGUAAAACAGCGGCCUCAAGCGUGGUUCGGAAUUCCUGGGCGUAAAGGGUGCGUAGGCGGUUUCGUGAGUCGUGUGUGAAAGGCGCGGGCUCAACCCGCGGACGGCACAUGAUACUGCGAGACUAGAGUAGGAGAGAGGGAACCGGAAUGCUCGGUGUAGCAGUGAAAUGCGUAGAUAUCGAGAAGAACACUCGUGGCGAAGGCGGGUUCCUGGACAUUAACUGACGCUGAGGCACGAAGGCCAGGGGAGCGAAAGGGAUUAGAUACCCUGGUAGUC
rnacentral:rRNA from 1 species